CUACGGGGGGCAGCAGUGGGGAAUAUUGGGCAAUGGGCGAAAGCCUGACCCAGCAACGCCGCGUGAAGGAAGAAGGUUUUCGGAUCGUAAACUUCUAUCCCAGGUGAAGAUAAUGACGGUAGCCUGGAAGGAAGCCCCGGCUAACUACGUGCCAGCAGGCAGCGGUAAUACGUAGGGGGCAGAGCGUUGUCCGGAAUGAUUGGGCGUAAAGGGCGCGUAGGCGGCCUUCUAAGUCCGAUGUGAAAGUCCUGCUUUUAAGGUGGGAAUUGCAUUGGAAACUGGAGGGCUUGAGUGCAGGAGAGGUAAGUGGAAUUCCCGGUGUAGCGGUGAAAUGCGUAGAGAUCGGGAGGAACACCAGUGGCGAAGGCGACUUACUGGACUGUAACUGACGCUGAGGCGCGAAAGUGUGGGGAGCAAACAGGAUUAGAUACCCGCGUAGUC
rnacentral:rRNA from 1 species